rnacentral:tRNA from 1 species
GUCUUAAUAGCUCAUUUGGUUAGGGUGUGGUGCUGAUAACAGCAAGGUUGCAGGUUCGAUCCCUGUAUGGGACA